UACGUAGGGUGCGAGCGUUAAUCGGAAUUACUGGGCGUAAAGGGUGCGCAGGCGGUUUUGCAAGUCAGGCGUGAAAUCCCCGGGCUUAACCUGGGAAUGGCGCUUGAAACUACGGGACUGGAGUAUGGCAGAGGGAGGUGGAAUUCCACGUGUAGCGGUGAAAUGCGUAGAGAUGUGGAGGAACACCGAUGGCGAAGGCAGGUCUCUGGGCCACUACUGACGCUGAGAAGCGAAAGCAUGGGGAGCGAACAGG
rnacentral:rRNA from 1 species